GACGAACGCUGGCGGCGCGCCUAACACAUGCAGGUCGAACGGAGCUGAGAGAAGCUUGCUUUUCUUAGCUUAGUGGCGAACGGGUGAGUAACGCGUGAGUAACCUGCCCUGGAGUGGGGGACAACAGUUGGAAACGACUGCUAAUACCGCAUAAGCCCACGAUCCGGCAUCGGAUUGAGGGAAAAGGAUUUAUUCGCUUCAGGAUGGACUCGCGUCCAAUUAGCUAGUUGGUGAGGUAACGGCCCACCAAGGCGACGAUUGGUAGCCGGACUGAGAGGUUGAACGGCCACAUUGGGACUGAGACACGGCCCAGACUCCUACGGGAGGCAGCAGUGGGGGAUAUUGCACAAUGGGGGAAACCCUGAUGCAGCGACGCCGCGUGGAGGAAGAAGGUUUUCGGAUUGUAAACUCCUGUCGUGAGGGACGAUAAUGACGGUACCUAACAAGAAAGCACCGGCUAACUACGUG
rnacentral:rRNA from 1 species